ensembl:rRNA 5S_rRNA 5S ribosomal RNA
GUCUAUGGCUAGAACUCUGAAUGUGUCUGAUCUCAUCUGAUCUCUGAAGCUAAGCAGGAUUGGGCCUGGUUAGUCCUUGGUUGGGAGAACAUCUGGGACUAUAGGGUACUGUAGAAA